AAAAAUUAUUUAAAUUAUAUUUAUUUUUUAUUUAAUAGAAGAAAAUUUUGUUUAUAUUUUUUAUAUUUAAUUUUAUUAAUAAUAGUUAAUUAAUACUGUGAAGGAAAUAUUAUGUAAUUUUAAAAGAAAAUUUAAUUUAUUGUACCUUGUGUAUCAGGGUUGAUUAAAUUUUUUCUUUAAUUAAAGAAAUCUCGAAUUAAGAAGAGUUAUAAAUUUAUUUAUUUUAUUGUAUAAUAAAUAUUUUUAAUAGGUUUAUUGAAGUGAAAUAUUAUUCGAUUUUUAAUAUAUCUAGUUUUUUAAGAAAUAAUUUUAAUUUGUCUUUUUCUUUAUUAAUUUUGUUUAUUUUGAUUAUUUAAUUAUUAAAAAAAGUAAAAAAUAUUUGGGUUGAGCUUGAUAUUUAAUUUAUAAAAUUUAUUUAUUUAUUUUUAAAAUAUUAGGAUUGAAAGUUUUUUUAUUUAUAUAGAGUUAUUUCUAGUUUAUAAAUCAAUUUUAUUUUUAUUUAAUUUAUAUUUUUUAUUAAAAUUAACUAUAAAAUAUAUUUAUUGUUGUAAUUAUGAUUAAAUUAGUAAAUUUAGAUUUUGUUUAAUAAAUUAUAUAUUUUAGUCAAUUUAAAGGAAUUCGGCAAUUUAAUCUUUUUACCUGUUUAUUAAAAACAUGGCCUUUUGAGUUUAUUUUAGGUCUGGUCUGCCCAAUGAUUUUAUUGAAUGGCCGCAGUAUUUUAACUGUGCAAAGGUAGCAUAAUCAUUAGUUUUUUAAUUGAAAGCUUGUAUGAAGGGCUGGAUAAAAAAGAAACUGUCUCAAUUUUGUUUACAUUGAAUUUUAUUAUUUAGUGAGAAGGCUUAAAUAAUUAAUGAAGACGAGAAGACCCUAUAGAGUUUAAUAGUUAAAAUUUAUUUAAUUUAUUAGAAUUAUUUUUUAAAUAAUUUUAAUUUUUUUAUUGGGGUGAUUUAAAAACUUAUUCAACUUUUUAUAAAUUUGUACAUUUAUUUUUGAAUUUAUGAUCCUUUAUAUGGAUUAAAAGAAUAAAUUACCUUAGGGAUAACAGCGUUAUUUUUUUUGAGAGUUCAAAUCGAUAAAAAAGAUUGCGACCUCGAUGUUGGAUUAAAAUUUUACUUUGGUGCAGUAGCUAAAGUUUUAAGUCUGUUCGACUUUUAAAAUUUUACAUGAUCUGAGUUUAAACCGGCGUGAGCCAGGUUGGUUUCUAUCUCUUUAAAAUUAUUAUGAUUUAGUACGAAAGGACCAAUUAUUUGAUAGAUUUUAUUUUAUUUAGGAAUAAUUAUA
rnacentral:rRNA from 1 species